UUAAUCAUUUUAAGCAUCUUUAACACAGGCUAAUUAACACCUAACAAAUUCCUUUGUACUUUUUAAAAACACUUUUAACAUAGGCCAGGCCCCAUGGCCAUUGGCUCAACUUACCCAAGGCAAAUUUUUUUACUAUAUUAGCCCAAACAGCUACAAGGAUGCACUUUCAUGCUAAGUUUAUGACCUCAUAUUGUAGCUUAUAGAGACCCCAACUGAUGUAUAGAACAAUCUUAAAAAUAUCUACUUUGGUUUAGAUACAAGCAUCAUACAACCACAAUACAUUUUUGACUAGGUCCAAAACAAGGUUUGGGGGACCUAACCUGCCUACCACUAAUUCCAUGUGGUUUCUUCCUAAGUUGUAUUCUGAAACGCAGCCCUGAAACAGCCUUGUAAUAUAUCCAACCAUUGAACAGAAGAUGGGAAAAGCAGGACCUCUAAAAUCACUGUUUUAUUUAAUGGUCUGGUGCUCUCACCAACACCACCACUGGGGUGGAAACAGUGACUCGGGUUAGGGUUAGGGCGCUCCCCUCCCAUCCCUACCCAUGCAGGGUGGUUUCACAGAUGUCCUCCUCCCCACCUGUGUAAAGGGAAGUGCUUCCCGAGUAGAACAACAGCUCAUCCGGCAGCAAGAGGGGCGGGUCUCAAUUCACCUUCUACUCCUCCCCAUUGGCCGAACACUCCUCCAGCAGCAUGAUGAUUCUGUACUGUGACACUGUGCUUUCAGGGGGCUUCCAUAGAGGGAGGUGGAAAACAAUACCCUGAGCUUAGGCUUCAUGUGGUACAGCCAAUGCAAGAGGGGCGGGUCUCAAUUCACCUUCUACUCCUCCCCAUUGGCCGAACACUCCUCCAGCAGCAUGAUGAUUCUGUACUGUGACACUGUGCUUUCAGGGGGCUUCCGUAGAGGGAGGAGGAAAACAAUACCCUGAGCUUAGGCUUCAUGUGGUACAGCCAAUAGUAGCUAUGGUCCCCCAUUAACCCUGUCCUCACUCUCUCCUGCUACACUUACCCUGUUUUAAGGAGCUGGAUGACAUCAGUACAUAGCGAGUAUUUUCUGCCUCUUACGCCUGCCCUGUGUUUGUGUGUGUGUGUGUGUGUCGUCUGUGUCUGUGCGUGUGUCCAUUCAUGUUUGUGUGUGCGUGUGUCUGUUCGUGUGUGUGUGUCUGUGCGUGUGUGUCUGUGCUUGUGUGUGUCUGUGUGUGUGUCCGUUCAUGUUUGUGUGUGUGUGUGUCUGUGCGUGUGUCCGUUCAUGUUUGUGUGUGUGUGUGUGUGUUUGCGAGGUGCAAGGGGUGUAGGGGACGGACAAGGCAUCACUUGUUUUGUUAAGUCUGGACUGGUGUUUGCCUUCAGGGGAUAGUGUUUUCGGGCUUAUGCCUUUUGUAUACAGUAACAUUUCUCAAUAAGCAUGACUGUCUGUGAGUAAUUGUGUGUUUGUGGUAUGAAUCUGUGAAACUCCGUUGUUUCAUGAAUACAUGUUGUUGAGAAAUGGACUUUGCUAACAGGUCUCCUCUCUCCAUAAGUGCAGGCUGUUAAACCCCAGAUAGUAUUUUUAGGGAGAAAAUCAUGCCCUUGUUUCUGUCUCCAUCCAUGCGUCUGUCUCUCUGUGUAUGUACGCUGGACUAAAAUAGCAGCAUGGGCUCCUGUGAGAAUAAACACAGGGGUUGCAUCCCAGAUGGCACCCUAUGCCCUUCAUAGUGCACUACUUUUGACCAGAGCCAUGGCCAAAAGUAGUGCACUAUAUAGGGAAUUGGGUGCCAUCUGAGACGCAGAUAGGGAAAGGCAUCUGCUGGGUUUCACACAGGUCUAACAGACAACUGGAGGUGGGAAACCUGGGGAAAGAAACUCUAUAACGACAGAACUUCCUAUUCUCAGCUGAGUGAUGCCAUAGUAACGCCUACCCUUGUUUGUUUGUUUAGUUUUUUACUCAGGUGAGGUUGUGGACGCAGUGCGCCACUACCACUAAAUAUGCAGUCGAGAUUCCUACGUUUGUGAAAGUUGCAGGGGUCAUCAAUGGCCGAGCCUUGGCCCGGGGGAACCUCCUUCGUGAUCGAGGUACCCUGCUAGGUUUCUACCUCCUUGGCAGUCAGGAUCCAUAUUGAUCUGAAAGAUGGCCCUUGUGCAUAUCACCCCUCUCUGGACCCUCGAAUAGGCUGUGUUGAGCAGAAUGUAAAAAUGAAUAACUUUAAUAAAAGGUUAUAUACUAUGUUGACUCUCCAGAGGAUACCAGUGGUGAUAGGAGAGAUGCUUCGCAGCGUUCUCAGUUAUCAUAUCUACCUCUGUUAUUACGGUUAGCCUGGGGCUCUAGGGCUACCUUUACUCAGUGCUCUGGCCCGAAUGCCACCAUAUUCCCUUGAUAGUGCACUACGUUUGACCAAGGCCCAUAUAGGGAAUAGGGUGCCAUUUGGGAAGCACACCCAGUGAGAUGUGGCAUCAACUGCAUUGUUGGUUAAGGGCUUGUAAGUAAACAUUUCACGGUAAGGAUCUACACCUGUUGUAUUCGUGACAUGUGACAAUAAAAUGUGAUUUAAUUUGAGUGCUCCCUGUAACCGGUAGUGACAGAUUGUUAUGCCCUUUAGGACUGUCCUGUGCGGUCACAAUGACACCUCCCAAAUGGCACCCUACUCCCUACCUUUGACCAGUAGUGCGCUGCAUAAGGAGUAGGCUACUAUUUAAGGACACAGUAACUUUGAAUUCACCUCAGACUGCAGAGGUAAAGCUAUUACUGUAUUGAACAACAUGUGAGAGCAACGAGCGCAUAGAUCAUGUAAUAGGACAGGCAGGCAGAACAAACUUGACACGUCAAAUCAGUGUGUGUGCAGAAUAGAGAGAUACAUUUGGUUUUAUUUAACCUUUAUUUUAUCAGGGAGUCAUACUGAGGUCAAUAUCUAUUUUUACAGAUGAGCCCUGAAUUACAUAAAUUACAUAAUAACACACAUCAAUAUCAUAUCAAAAACCAGACACAGUCAUCAGUUAUAAGUUCCUCAAUCACCUUUCUGAAUUGCCCUAGACCAGUGGUUCUCAAACAUUUUAUAGCCCCUUCCCCCUUCAAACAUUCAACCUCCAGCUGCGUACCCCCUCUAGCACCAGGGUCAGCGCACUCUCAAAUGUCGUUUUUUUUGUCAUCAUUGUAAGCCUGCCACACACACACUAUACAAUACAUUUAUUAAACAUAAGAAUGAGGGUGAGUUUUUGUCACAACCCGGCUCGUGGGAAGUGACAAAGAGCUCUUAUAGUACCAGGGCACAAAUAAUAAUAUAAUAAUAAUCAAUAAUGUUGCUCUUUAUUUAAACUUUAUACGUGAGGGCUGAGAAUCCACUCUCACGUAGGUACGUGGUUGCAAAGGGCAUCAGUGUGUUAACAGGGCGAUUUGCCAAGGCAGGAUACUCUGAGUGCAGCCCAAUCCAGAAAUCUGUCAGUGGCUUCUGAUUAAAUUAAAUUUUCACAGAACCGCUUGUUGCAAUUUUUAUGAGGCUCUCUUGUUCAGAUAUCGGUAAGUGGACUGGAGGCAGGGCAUGAAAGGGAUAACGAAUCCAGUGGUUUGUCUCAUCCAUUUCAGGAAAGUACAUGUGUAAUUGCGCACCCAACUCACUCAGGUGCUUCGCUAUAUCACAUUUGACAUUGUCCGUAAGCUUGAGUUCAUUUGCCCACAAGAAAUCAUACAAUGAUGGAAAGACCUGUGUCCUUGUUAAUGCAGACAGAGGAGAGCUCCAACUUCUUAAUCAUAGCCUCAAUAUUAUCCCACACAAUGAAUAUAGUUGUGGAGAGUCCCUGUAAUCCUAGAUUCAGAUCAAUCAGGCGAGAAAAAACAUCCCCAGAUGGGCCAGUCGUGUGAUAAACUCAUCAUCAUACAAGCAGUCAGACAAGUGAAAAUUAUGGUCAGUAAAGCUCGUCUCUCAAUUUUUUUUUAAAACGUGUAAAUUCUUUGCCUCUUAAUAACCAGCGCACUUCUGUAUGUUGUAAAAGUGUUACAUGGUCGCUGCCCAUAUCAUUGCAUAGUGCAUUAAAUACACAAGAGUUCAGGGGCUUUGCUUUAACAAAGUUAACCAUUUUCACUGUAGUGUCCAAAACGUCUUUCAAGCUGUCAGGCAUUCCCUUGGCAGCAAGAGCCUCUCGGUGGAUGCUGCAGUGUACCCAAGUGGCGUCGGGAGCAACUGCUUGCACACGUAUUACCACUCCACUAGGUCUCCCUGUCAUGGCUUUUGCACCAUCAGUACAGAUACCAACACAUCUAGACCACCAAAGUCCAUUCGAUGUCACAAAGCUGUCCAGUACUUUAAAAAUAUCUUGUCAUGUUGUCCUGGUUUCCAGUGGUUUGCAGAAGAGGAUGUCUUCCUUAAUUGACCCCCCAUAAACGUAACGGACAUAUACCAGGAGCUGUGCCAGGCCCGCCACGUCUGUUGACUCAUCCAGCUGUAAUGCAUAGAAUUCACUGGCUUGUAUGUGAAGCAGUAAUUGUUUCAUAACAUCUCCUGCCAUGUCACUGAUGCGUUGUGAAACAGUGUUGUUUGAUGAAGACAUUGUCUGUAUAUUUUUUUUGGCCUUUCCCCCCUUCAUUGUCCCAGCCAUAUCCGCGGCAGCAGGAAGAAUUAAGUCCUCCACAAUAGUAUGGGGCUUUUAAUUUUAUUUUUGGCAGUGAAACGAGGCUACUCAGACGAGAGAAAAAACUCACCCAAAUGUACAGCCCCGUUGGAAAAUCUAAAUGGACUUUUAGAAAAUAUGAAGAGACAAUACAUUUUUUUAAAUCACAUUUUUAUUUGGUGUACCCCUGAAGGCAUUGCGCGUACCCCUGAGGGCAUACCUGCCCUAGAGGCACGAGAGCAUCACAUUUAAUAACAUUUUGAAGAUUGUUCCACAAAUACAGUGCAAAAAAACUAUUUCCCCAACUGAGUACAGACCGCUGGAAUUUCCAGAGUUAGCCAUUUCUGAGACCGGGGGUGGUAACUCAUAUGUCUAGGUUAGUAAUGAUGAUUUGUUUUGUAACAGGACUUUAUAAAAGAAAACAUAGCAUUGAAUCAACCUACAUGACAUCAAAGAGGGACAACCAACAUUCUGGUAGAGAAUGCAGUUAUGAGUAGCUAGCCAGAGGGAGAAUUAUUAUGUAUGUAUUAUGUAUUAUUGUAUGAAUUAACCUUAUUAAAUAAUUGAAUUGUUA